rnacentral:sRNA from 1 species
AGACCAAGAAGAGACGCGCUUGGCCAGCGU